rnacentral:rRNA from 1 species
UACCCGCAGCACAAGUGGUGGUCAUUAUUAUUGGGCCUAAAGCGUCCGUAGCUGGCCUGUUAGAUGCCUGGGUAAAUCGAUGCGCUCAACGUAUCGAACUCCGGGUAGACCGGCAGGCUCGAGACCGGGAGAGGUGUAGGCUACUCGCGGGGUAGGGGUAAAAUCCUGUAAUCCUGCGGGGAGGACCAGUGGCGAAGGCGCUACACUGGAACGGCUCUGACAGUGAGGGACGAAGCCCUGGGGCGCAAACCGG